rnacentral:rRNA from 1 species
UACGUAGGUGGCAAGCGUUGUCCGGAUUUACUGGGCUUAAAGAGUUCGUAGGCGGCGCAGAAAGUAGGGUGUGAAAGCCCUCGGCUCAACCGAGGAAUUGCGCUCUAAACUACUGUGCUUGAGGGACCUAGAGGUGAGCGGAACUGAUGGUGGAGCGGUGAAAUGCGUUGAUAUCAUCAGGAACACCGGAGGCGAAGGCGGCUCACUGGGGGUCUUCUGACGCUGAGGAACGAAAGCCAGGGGAGCGAACGGG